CAACAAAAUUUCUUGCAUCAGAAAUAAAAAUAAUUCGUGCAGAGGUAUUGUUCUCCUUCCUUCCCACCCUUUUCGGAUCUUUCUUUCCCCAAAACGAAACACGCAAAUUUGUUUCCCCACUCUCUCUCUCUCUGAAGGAAAGAAAGAGAAACUGUGUUCCCUCUGCCUGCGUAGAUUGGUAACAUGUUUCAUGGCUGAAUUUCCAGAUUUUCAUAUGGCGCUCUUGAAUUCUCAGCAUCCCAUCUGAGGUUGUAUUAUUUGUUACCAACUGCUUUGAUUAGAAUUUUGUGGGAAAGUGGAAGACGAGGAAGAAGGGGAAAUAUAGAGAAAAGGGAAAGAUGGGUGUUAACUAGGAAAAAGGAGUACUGGGUUAGUGUUGCAGGAAGUGGGUUUCCUGAUUCUAUAUUUUUUGAGGUUUAUGAUUUUGUCAUUUGGGAAAAAGUAACAAUGUUUAACAAAAUAAUGAAAAGAGGGCAGAAAAAGCCCUCCAAAUCGGAAGCAACUGAGCCUCCUCCAGUGGCUACAGCAACAGCAGCCCCCAAUGUGGCUGCGGCCCCGCAACCGCUUCUGAGUCUUGCAACCAUCCAAAACCCUGGCGUAGUUGAGGUCUUGCCAAUGUUGAGGGAUGUUGCUGUACCAGACAGACAUGUAGUAUUCAUCCGAAAAGUCCUAGUGUGUUGUUUCUUCUUUGAUUUCUCUGAUACAAUGAAGUCGGCCCGAGAAAAGGAGAUCAAGAGGCAAACCCUUGCAGAGCUUGUCGAUAUAGUGCAGUCUGGAUCGUGUAAACUGAACGAGAUAAUGCAGGAGGAUAUGGUCAAAAUGAUAUCCAUGAAUAUUUUCCGAUGCUUGCCACCUGCACCGCAUGAAAAUUCUGGCGCGGAUGGUGGAGAUCCUGAGGAGGAUGAUAUGUUCAUGGACCCCGCUUGGCCCCACUUGCAACUUGUGUAUGAGUUACUUUUAAGAUACGUGGUGUCACCAGAUACAGAUACCAAGCUUGCCAAAAGAUUUAUUGAUCACUCGUUUGUCAUAAAACUACUUGAAUUGUUUGAUUCUGAGGACAUGAGAGAGAGGGAGUAUUUGAAGACUAUUGUUCAUCGGAUAUAUGGAAGAUUCAUGGUUCAUCGACCGCUUAUAAGGAAUGAAAUUAACAACAUAUUCUAUCGGUUUAUAUUUGAGACAGAGAGGUACAAUGGGAUAUGUGAGUUACUGGAGAUCCUCGGAAGUAUAAUAAAUGGGUUUGCAUUGCCAAUGAAAGAGGAGCACAAGUUGUUUCUUGUACGAGCACUUAUUCCAUUGCACAAGCCUAAAUCUAUUACUACAUACCAUCAACAGUUAUCCUAUUGUAUAACACAAUUCGUCGACAAAGAUUACAGGUUGUCUGAUACUGUCAUUAGGGGGGUGCUGAAGUAUUGGCCUCUGACAAACUGUGGGAAAGAGGUUCUCUUCCUUGGAGAACUAGAAGAAAUUUUGGAGGUUACACAAUCUGCAGAGUUCCAGCGCUGCAUGGUUCCCCUUUUUAGACAAAUUGGAAGAAGCCUCAAUAGCCCACAUUUUCAGGUGGCAGAACGGGCUCUUUUCUGGUGGAACAACGAGCACAUAGUGGCCUUGAUUGCAGAGAAUAGGCAUGUUGUUUUACCCAUCAUAUUCGAUGCGCUAGAGAAGAACAUACGAAGUCACUGGAACCAGGCAAUCAAUGGCUUGAGCGCGAAUGUCCGACGAAUGUUCCAGGAGAUGGAUGCUGAGCUAUUUGACGAGUGUCAGAGACAGCACGCUGCAAAGGAGGCUAUGGCAGGAAAACUGGAGGAGCAACGCGUCUCAACUUGGAAAAGACUUGAGGAAGUUGCUGCCCGUACCAUGGGGAAAAACAUGGUUCUUGUUUAGUGAUCUUUAAGUUUUUCUUUUUUUUUUUUUCCUUUUUCUAAACGUAUUUUCAGGAAUAGUGAUGUGACUUCUGCACUUGGCAAAGCUCUAUGGAUUAGAUGCUCAGGAUCAAAUACUUGAAGAAGUUUUUGCUAUCUUCCACUUUAGCAGCUUAACUAGUACUCCAAAAGGGCGUAGGAAUGAUUACAAAACAAGCCGAGAGCUGAAGGAAAAGAGCCUGAAGAAAGGAGAAAAAGUGCUGGUGAAAAUACCAUCCCAAUAACUCAUGCAGAUUUUUGAACCUGUCAUCGAGAGCUUGUGCUGCGUGUAUGCUUUUACUUCUGCGCGAGGUGCCCGACGCUCGUUCUUGCUUCAUCAUUUGUUGCUUUCUUGCCAUUCUCUUACAGAACAUGUAUAUUCUCAGUGCUGAACGGUUCUUUGUGCUUUGACAUUAUGAUCUAAGGCCAUCUCUUCUGAGAAUUAUACUUAAAGCUGUGAGUGGUAAUUGUAAUAAAUCCAGUUGGGAUUAUGAGCCUGUUUGAUCUGAUGCGUAUAUAAUGUCACAAUGUUGGAAGA